rnacentral:rRNA from 1 species
UCUGGCUCAGGAUGAACGCUAGCUACAGGCUUAACACAUGCAAGUCGAGGGGCAGCAUUGGAGUAGCAAUACUCAGAUGGCGACCGGCGCACGGGUGAGUAACACGUAUCCAACCUGCCGCUUACUCGGGGAUAGCCUUUCGAAAGAAAGAUUAAGUACCCGAUGGUAUAAAGAGUUCGCAUGUUCUCUUUAUUAAAGAAUUUCGGUAAGCGAUGGGGAUGCGUUCCAUUAGAUAGUUGGCGGGGUAACGGCCCACCAAGUCUACGAUGGAUAGGGGUUCUGAGAGGAAGGUCCCCCACAUUGGAACUGAGACACGGUCCAAACUCCUACGGGAGGCAGCAGGUGAGGAAUAUUGGUCAAUGGACGAGAGUCUGAACCAGCCAAAAGUAGCGUGAAGGAUGACUGCCCUAUGGGUUGUAAACUUCUUUUAUAAGGGAAUAAAGUGAGGGACGUGUCCCUUUUUGUAUGUACCUUAUGAAUAAGGAUCGGCUAACUCCGUGCCAGCCGCCGC